rnacentral:lncRNA from 1 species
CAGUGCCUUUGAGGUGCUUGGCCAAGGUGAGGAGUGCCAGCUUUCUUGCACGGCCACUGCCUGGGAGGGACCCUGGGUGGCUGUCCCCUCUGGUGAGCCCCGAGGGAAGCUGCAGGUGUGCUGUGCAGACCUCUCCUGAUGCCCGUCUCCUCUCUCCCACGUUGGCUGUGCCUACAGAUGACGAUGCAGGCGCCGCACCGCUGAAGAGCAGCAGUCACCACGUGAAUGACAAGGGCAAGAAUGUCCGCCAGAGGAACGCCACCUGAGCAGGCGCCCCAGGACUGGAGCCGUGUGCUGGAGCCCCGUGUCUGCGUCUCUGCCUCCAGCAGGAGUCCAUCCCCGUGUUUGCAAGAUCCCAGAUUCUCACCUCUGAGAGAACCCUCGGCCAGAGCGAGCCUGUUACAGAUUGCAGCGUGCCCCUGUGUAGUUGAAACGCAGUAGGUUCUAUGCAUAGAAUUCUGUUAGGUGUUCACCAUUUAAAUGUGUCACUGGAGCCCUGGAGUGUCCGCCUCUCCCUGGCCACGCCUGGGCGUGUGGGUGGGUGGUUGAACCUCCCUAGCCCCCAGUCCAGUCUCCUGCCUGUCUGAGGCCAGUGCUCUGUGUUUGCCCUGGGCUUUGUGGAGAUUUCUUCAUGAAGGUUGCAGGUCUGUGACUCAGUGGCAGCUCAGACCUCUUGAUGGUGGAGGGGGCCUGCCUACCUACCCACUCACCUGCACAGUGACCCCUUCACUCUCCCAAGUGACCCCUACCCCCUCCCAAUGUCUGUGUGCCAGAGGAUGGGACUCCACAACUCCCCAGCUCCAGCGGAGGAUAGCAGCACCCUUUCCAGUGUUGGGCUGGGUGGGAACCCUACAAUAAAGACUGACCCCACCCCGCCUCGUGUUCA